rnacentral:tRNA from 1 species
GUGGUAGUAGCUCAGCUGGUUAGAGCGUCGGAUUGUGGCUCCGAAGGUCGGGGGUUCAAAUCCCCUCUAUCACCC